rnacentral:lncRNA from 1 species
GGAUCAAAGCUUUAUUUGGACUGUAACACAGUAUAUCUAUGGAUUAUAAUCCUUAAGCAAACAGAAUUAUUACAGUAAUGAAGACUUCUGCAUUACAAAUAUGUUAAAACAGCUUGCAUUUGGGGUGAUAUUUAAGGUCACGUUGUAUCUGAACACAACUAUUAAAAUAUUAUGAAAAUUACCAUUAUGGAGUAAAUAAUGUUUUCUUUCAGAUGUAACCUCUGAAAGUACAUUCCAUUUCAAAUUUGGUUUUCUAAUUUUUCCAGUACCAACAAGCUCAAACUGAACAUCUACAUCCCUGACCUGCUCUAUGUGAAAGAGAGAGAAAUGAAGAACUAUAAGCUCAGCCUCAAAUCUAGCUCCCUACAUGACCCCUCAUAAAUGUAGUCAAGAGGUUACCACAGUAAAUGUCAAAUAUCAUGUGUCUAACCCAUCUUAUUAUUUCAUAUGUACUCUCAAAUUAAAUUAAUAGGCUUGAGAAAGAUUCUGCGGAGUAAGAAAUCUCUCAUCUGAGGGAAAAGUAACAUGCCUUCUGCUACUGCCCCCACAGCCAGAAUAACUGAGAAAGUAAAAAGCUCGGGAAUGUGAUGGGAGAGGUGACAAGAUGGGUGAACAGGCUGUGCUCCUGGGUUAGUACUGUGGUUACUCAUCUGUGCAUAAACCUAAAAAAGGGUGAUUAAUUAUUUCUUCUUGUAAGAUACUCGAAGAUUAGCUCACAAGCAGGCAAACCCUUUGGUUUUCUUCACCGCUCUUCUCUCAAUUGCUUUUCCCCAUCCACCAGAAAAGCACAAGCAGCAAAAGGCUCUUAGGACCACAGCAGCUUAUGUAUACAUACAUUUUAACCCAAAAGGGCAAGCAGGAAGUCAAGAGACGUAGAGUAAGAGAUUAUGUUCUGAGGGGAAAAAAAAUCAUUUACCCAAGAUGGGUAGGAAAUAACACAAGACACAUCUAUAUAUGACCUAACAUAUAUAAUAUAUACUUUAUAUUUUAUACAAAAGCUUGGGAUAAGAUGGGGUAUAAUUGCAUAGAAGUUACAGCCUUGACGUGGUAAAGAAUACCCAUUCAAGAUCUCAUUUAAAGCUGAUAUUAAACCAUAAUGGUAUCAAACAGUUUGGGGGAGUUUGGGGUUUUUUUUAAAACACACUUAUGUUUAACAUUUGUUUCUCAAUUUGUCUCUAUAGAAAGGCAAGUGGCAAGCUAGCUCAGCUGUAGCAAUUAAACUAUGCACUCAGAUCUGAGUAGAACAGGGAUCCUGUGUAACGAUGUUCCCUGCCGCUGCUUGCCCCACGGUCUGUGCCAAACCAGGCAACACACACUCCUGCACCUCAGCAUCCCUGCUGCCCUGCCCCUACACUGCUGCAUUGCUUCAGGCAUGUGCAGUUGCAUUUAUAUAUGUGUAUAUAUAUCUAUCUAUAUAUAUCAGACCACAGGCCAGCA